rnacentral:rRNA from 1 species
UGGGGAAUAUUGCACAAUGGGCGCAAGCCUGAUGCAGCGACGCCGCGUGCGGGAUGACGGCCUUCGGGUUGUAAACCGCUUUUGACUGGGAGCAAGCCCUUCGGGGUGAGUGUACCUUUCGAAUAAGCACCGGCUAACUACGUGCCAGCAGCCGCGGUAAUACGUAGGGUGCAAGCGUUAUCCGGAAUUAUUGGGCGUAAAGGGCUCGUAGGCGGUUCGUCGCGUCCGGUGUGAAAGUCCAUCGCUUAACGGUGGAUCCGCGCCGGGUACGGGCGGGCUUGAGUGCGGUAGGGGAGACUGGAAUUCCCGGUGUAACGGUGGAAUGUGUAGAUAUCGGGAAGAACACCAAUGGCGAAGGCAGGUCUCUGGGCCGUCACUGACGCUGAGGAGCGAAAGCGUGGGGAGCGAACAGGAUUAGAUACCCUGGUAGUCCACGCCGUAAACGGUGGAUGCUGGAUGUGGGGACCAUUCCACGGUCUCCGUGUCGGAGCCAACGCGUUAAGCAUCCCGCCUGGGGAGUACGGCCGCAAGGCUAAAACUCAAAGAAAUUGACGGGGGCCCGCACAAGCGGCGGAGCAUGCGGAUUAAUUCGAUGCAACGCGAAGAACCUUACCUGGGCUUGACAUGUUCCCGACAGCCCCAGAGAUGGGGCCUCCCUUCGGGGCGGGUUCACAGGUGGUGCAUGGUCGUCGUCAGCUCGUGUCGUGAGAUGUUGGGUUAAGUCCCGCAACGAGCGCAACCCUCGCCCUGUGUUGCCAGCACGUCGUGGUGGGAACUCACGGGGGACCGCCGGGGUCAACUCGGAGGAAGGUGGGGAUGACGUCAGAUCAUCAUGCCCCUUACGUCCAGGGCUUCACGCAUGCUACAAUGGCCGGUACGACGGGAUGCGACACCGCGAGGUGGAGCGGAUCCCUUAAAACCGGUCUCAGUUCGGAUUGGAGUCUGCAACCCGACUCCAUGAAGGCGGAGUCGCUAGUAAUCGCGGAUCAGCAACGCCGCGGUGAAUGCGUUCCC